rnacentral:rRNA from 1 species
UCCUACGGGGCGCAGCAGUGAGGAAUAUUGGUCAAUGGUCGGGGGACUGAACCAGCCAAGCCGCGUGAGGGAUGAAGGUACAGAGUAUGGUAAACCUCUUUUGUCAGGGAACAAAGGCGGGGACGUGUCCCCGGAUGAGUGUACCUGAAGAAAAAGCAUCGGCUAACUCCGUGCCAGCAGCCGCGGUAAUACGGAGGAUGCGAGCGUUAUCCGGAUUUAUUGGGUGUAAAGGGUGUGCAGGCGGCUGAGUAAGACAGAUGUGAAAUCCCCGGGCUUAACCUGGGAACCGCAUAUGGGACUGCUUG